UACGUAGGUGGCAAGCGUUUGUCCGGAUUUACUGGGCGUAAGGAGCGCGCAGGCGGUCGUUCAAGUCGAGUGUGAAAGCCCCCGGCUCAACUGGGGAGGGUCACUCGAUACUGAUCGACUCGAAGGCAGAAGAGGGAAGCGGAAUUCCCGGUGUAGUGGUGAAAUGCGUAGAUAUCGGGAGGAACACCAGUGGCGAAGGCGGCUUUCUGGUCUGGCUCUUGACGCUGAGGCGCGAAAGCUAGGGUAGCAAACGGG
rnacentral:rRNA from 1 species